rnacentral:ncRNA from 1 species
GGCGAACGACAGGGGAGCGUCGCCGUCGGGAGUUCCCGCCGGCACAGGGCGCUGAGAGUGCGGGCAGCCGCAGACCCUCGAACCUGCUCCGGUUAGCACCGGCGAAGGAAGUCGGGAUCUCUCCCCG